CAGCCGCCACGGUAAUACAGAGGGUGCGAGCGUUAAUCGGAUUUACUGGGCGUAAAGCGUGCGUAGGCGGCUUUUUAAGUCGGAUGUGAAAUCCCUGAGCUUAACUUAGGAAUUGCAUUCGAUACUGGGAAGCUAGAGUAUGGGAGAGGAUGGUAGAAUUCCAGGUGUAGCGGUGAAAUGCGUAGAGAUCUGGAGGAAUACCGAUGGCGAAGGCAGCCAUCUGGCCUAACACUGACGCUGAGGUACGAAAGCAUGGGGAGCAAACAGGAUUAGAUACCCGCGUAGUCCCUGUCUCUUAUAC
rnacentral:rRNA from 1 species